GCGAUAUGGCUGAGUUCUUCCUGUGCCUGUAGCGCUGGGACAAACAUGAUGGAUACUCCCCAAAGCCGCUGGAGCUUCUGUCAGAGGUUACUGGGUUCUACAAGCAAGUGAGGAACUUGUAGCCCACCAAGAUUUCCUAGACUUCCCGCUGCGGCUCUUCUCUAACAGCAUUCUUCCCAAGGGCCCCUGCCUUGCGAGCACAACCCCACGAGUGGGCACCAGGCAAUGACGCAUCAGCAUCAGCACUUGCUGCGCCCCCCGGGGCACCGG